rnacentral:tRNA from 1 species
GCGUCGGUGGUUCAGUGGUAGAAUACUCGCCUGACACGCGGGUGGCCGGGUUCGAUUCCCGGCCGACGCA